GUGAAAUGAUGAAGGACCUUUAAAACCAAGACAGAUCCAACAAUUAUAGCUCCUGCAAGGAAACAUGGUCUUUCUUGCCUCCAUAAGCACUAAUGGUACUGGUGGACUGGCCUGUAUUCGGCUCAAUCCACCGAAGAAAAGCAGUCCCGCCGCAUGCCAUCAGCAUGUUUCACAUCGGAAAGGUCGUGUUUAGGGUGAUGUGCAGUGUUAAUUUUCUUCCGUAAAGCCAUUUGCCAUGUUGUCGUGUUUGCUGUGCUGCCUACAUGGCUUCUGGCAAACUUGAAAUGGAUUUUUGCACAGCUAGUUGUCCUUUCAACAGAUUUUCCUACCAGAGCUGUGAAACUCCUCCAGAGUUCCCAUGGAGCUCAUCUCCGGUUCAGGUAGAGCGUCAUGUCUUCGUAGGUUUACAAACUCUUGCGUUUCCAAUUGAUGGGGUGAACACUUCUGUUCCUGAUAUGGAUAUCGUUUUAAAUCAUAACCCUGAUUUAAAACGUCUUCACCGUUUUAUUCCUAAUCCGUUAGGUGUGCUCCUUGGUCUUCAUGAUGCGUUUGGUUCCUAAUAUUCUUUGACAGAUCUCUGAGGCCUUCACAGAACAGCUGUGGAUGCACUCAGAUGACGUUACACACAGGGAGGCUAAUUUUAUUAAUGAGGUUACACUGGAUUUGUUUAUCGGCAUCAGAAAAAUCACUGAAAGCAAAUGCAUGCUUCUAUCUGAAAUAAACAUUUCAGAUGCUUAUUUGUAUUUCGUUUCACUUCACAAUUAUUCACUGCUUUGUGUCAGUCUGGUUCAUUAAAGUUUAUGGUUGAAAACUGACAACUGCGGUAUCAAUACUUUUGCAAGUACUGUAUUACCAUAAAUAUUAAAAAAUAUAUAAUUUCUUUUCACAAAAAGGCUUACCCAUCAAAACGUGUUUUCUAAAUCCUGUCUCCAUAUUUUGUACAGAUCUUUUAUAAAGGAGAAAUUAAUUAAUAUAACCAGAUGGGCCUAAAACUCCUCUUUUUUUAACUAGAUGAAACCAAUUUCAUAUUUGUGGACAUUUGGGGUGUCAUAAUCUUAUUGAAUAGUAUGCUGACAUCGUGCAAAUCUCUUUUGUAAUAUUAAUCCAAAAUCAUACUUCCCUAUAGCUGAAAGUCUGACUUGUUGCCAUGCACUGCGCUUACCAGACUGCCUUAGCUGUUGUACUUCUGAAAUAUUCAGGUUCAUCUUAAGCACUUUUAAGUUAAAAUUGUCUUUUUUUUUUCUUUUUUUUUUCCAUACUGUGACAGUUGCAUGAAUCCCAGAAGUAGUUUUUUUUUUAUUUUUUAUUUUCUAUUGCAUAUUUAUUAUUUGACUAUAAAUGUAAAUGAAGUAGAAUAUUCAGGUUCACGCUGUUAUCCUACAACACUUAAAUCCUUAACUGUGACAGAAAACACAAGCUAGGUUUCAAAUGUAUAACCACAAGUUAUGUUGCUGAAUUGACUGUAAGCUGUCAGCCAAAAAUACGUGAAAAUUAAAGCUGUAACCAGUAUUGAAACAUUUCCUGUCUCUCUUAAUUCCAUUGUGAUUUCAGGUUGACUUAGCCGAAUGUGAAGUCAACAUCUGUUUUAAGAAAAUAUGAAUAUGGGUCAAAUUAGAUCAAUUUGAGCCAAAUUCAGCCUGAGCUGCCAGCAAUUUUGGGGGGUUUUAAAGCUUCCUGUUGCAUAAGUGUCACAACUUUGUAUGGAAAUGUCUGAAAAAUAUUUGAAUUUACAGACCAGUUGCAUACUCAAUCAAUGAAUUGUUUAGCAAUUUAUGAAACUUUUUAUCCGCCUAUACGUUCAUCUGUCAAAGUAUCAUUUAUCUGUCUAUUCAUCUAUUCAUAAGUCCCUCAGUCGAUCAUCUUUCCAUACAUUUUCAAUACAUUUGUCCAUCAUUCAUCAAUUUAACUAUUUCUCUGUUCAUCCAGCAAAGCAGUUUAUUUUCCAUUUGGCUGAAAUGAGAAUUCAUAUAUCCAACCUUGUUCAUCCAUCCUUCCAUCUUUGCCAUUCAUGCAUCAAGCCAUUCAUCUAUUUGUUCAUCCAUUCAUCCAUCCAUCUGCAACUAGACCUGGACUCGUCUUUGCUGUAAGGACAAUUUUAUUGUGUUGUAACGUUUUCUGGUCCACAAAACAAAAAUACUAAUGUCACAUCUUCUCAGUACACUGAACAUAAAUCCAAGCAAAUCUCAUAAGAGUUACUGUUUCACAGGAAAUUUCACAAAGGCAAAAAUCAUUCCUACACAAUCAAAACAACCAUAUUCAUUAAAAAAAGAAAGAUUUUAAGAGGUUUAAAAUGAAAUGUUACACAAAAUGCCUUUGUUUGAGAUGCAAAAAUGUGCCCUUCUGCUCUGCAACUUUAGGGUGCAGAUCUUUAAUCAGAAUAUUUAACCUUUGGCUUUAUAUAUUACAAAAACACGCACGCGCACACACAUACAGUUCAUGAAUUAAAAACACUAAACUGGUUUAAUUUCAACACAACUGCAGGCAAGGAGUAACUCAUAUCCAUAUGUAUGGACCACACCUAUUAAAUCAUUGUGAAGAAGUGAACUUUAAAGGUUUUAAUGUUCCAGGCGGUUGAAUGUAAGAAGCAGGUUAAGUCUAAGCGAUCUGCAGUAACAUCUAUGAAAAGGUUUGACCUGGUCUGACACAGAAUACCCCACAGUGAUCUGGGAUUAUACAGAAUAUAAUCCAUGUCUGAAUGGUUGAUUUAGAGCGGAGCCUUCCCAAGCUACACUCUGUCCAAUCAUCCUGGACAGCAAGUCAAAGACGGUCGAUCUACACUCAUUCAUGUCCUUUUGCUCGACAAAGCCAACAGACAAGAUUUUCCUUUGCGGAUUUCACUUCUUCAUCUUGAGGUCGGCCUCUAUGGCACUACGGCGCCCUCUGGUGCCACCGUC